AAAUUGAAGAGUUUGAUCAUGGCUCAGAUUGAACGCUGGCGGCAGGCCUAACACAUGCAAGUCGAGCGGUAGCACAGAGAGCUUGCUCUCGGGUGACGAGCGGCGGACGGGUGAGUAAUGUCUGGGAAACUGCCUGAUGGAGGGGGAUAACUACUGGAAACGGUAGCUAAUACCGCAUAACGUCGCAAGACCAAAGUGGGGGACCUUCGGGCCUCAUGCCAUCAGAUGUGCCCAGAUGGGAUUAGCUAGUAGGUGGGGUAACGGCUCACCUAGGCGACGAUCCCUAGCUGGUCUGAGAGGAUGACCAGCCACACUGGAACUGAGACACGGUCCAGACUCCUACGGGAGGCAGCAGUGGGGAAUAUUGCACAAUGGGCGCAAGCCUGAUGCAGCCAUGCCGCGUGUGUGAAGAAGGCCUUCGGGUUGUAAAGCACUUUCAGCGGGGAGGAAGGCGUUAAGGUUAAUAACCU
rnacentral:rRNA from 2 species